rnacentral:rRNA from 1 species
AACCCGCCUGCGUGAAGUUGGAAUCGCUAGUAAUCGCGGAUCAGCAUGCCGCGGUGAAUACGUUCCCGGGCCUUGUACACACCGCCCGUCACACCAUGAGAGUCGGGAACACCCGAAGUCCGUAGCCUAACCGCAAGGGGGGCGCGGCCGAAGGUGGGUUCGAUAAUUGGGGUGAAGUCGUAACAAGGUAGC